rnacentral:lncRNA from 1 species
ACAUCGUCGGUGAUGUACCGACUGCUGACAAAGGCACCUUGCUCUAGGUUGAUCAAGCGAGACAUAAUUGGCUUCAACUGAUUGACUAGGAUCCUAGCAUCUAUUUUAUAAAGAGUGGUAUAGAGGCUGAUCAGUCCGAAGUAUCCUGGAGUCGAUGCAUCCUGCCACUUUGGGAUAAGGGUAAUCAACAUUUUCUUCUACUCCUCCAGAAUGCCCCU